CAAGUACUCCCUCCGUCCGGAAAUACUUGUCCAAGGAAUGGAUGUAUCUACAUGUAUUUUAGUUCUAGAUACACCUAUUUGUAUCUAUUUUUACGACAAGUAUUUCCGGACGGAGGGAGUAUUUG
rnacentral:pre_miRNA from 1 species